rnacentral:rRNA from 1 species
CAGGCUUAACACAUGCAAGUCGAGGGGCAGCAUUUUAGUUUGCUUGCAAACUGAAGAUGGCGACCGGCGCACGGGUGAGUAACACGUAUCCAACCUGCCGAUAACUCCGGAAUAGCCUUUCGAAAGAAAGAUUAAUACCGGAUAGCAUACGAAUAUCGCAUGAUAUUUUUAUUAAAGAAUUUCGGUUAUCGAUGGGGAUGCGUUCCAUUAGUUUGUUGGCGGGGUAACGGCCCACCAAGACAACGAUGGAUAGGGGUUCUGAGAGGAAGGUCCCCCACAUUGGAACUGAGACACGGUCCAAACUCCUACGGGAGGCAGCAGUGAGGAAUAUUGGUCAAUGGGCGAGAGCCUGAACCAGCCAAGUAGCGUGAAGGAUGAAGGCUCUAUGGGUCGUAAACUUCUUUUAUAUGGGAAUAAAGUUUUCCACGUGUGGAAUUUUGUAUGUACCAUAUGAAUAAGGAUCGGCUAACUCCGUGCCAGCAGCCGCGGUAAUACGGAGGAUCCGAGCGUUAUCCGGACUUAUUGGGUUUAAAGGGAGCGUAGGUGGAUUGUUAAGUCAGUUGUGAAAGUUUGCGGCUCAACCGUAAAAUUGCAGUUGAAACUGGCAGUCUUGAGUACAGUAGAGGUGGGCGGAAUUCGUGGUGUAGCGGUGAAAUGCUUAGAUAUCACGAAGAACUCCGAUUGCGAAGGCAGCUCACUAGACUGUCACUGACACUGAUGCUCGAAAGUGUGGGUAUCAAACAGGAUUAGAUACCCUGGUAGUCCACACAGUAAACGAUGAAUACUCGCUGUUUGCGAUAUACAGUAAGCGGCCAAGCGAAAGCAUUAAGUAUUCCACCUGGGGAGUACGCCGGCAACGGUGAAACUCAAAGGAAUUGACGGGGGCCCGCACAAGCGGAGGAACAUGUGGUUUAAUUCGAUGAUACGCGAGGAACCUUACCCGGGCUUAAAUUGCAACAGAAUAUAUUGGAAACAGUAUAGCCGUAAGGCUGUUGUGAAGGUGCUGCAUGGUUGUCGUCAGCUCGUGCCGUGAGGUGUCGGCUUAAGUGCCAUAACGAGCGCAACCCUUAUCUUUAGUUACUAACAGGUUAUGCUGAGGACUCUAGAGAGACUGCCGUCGUAAGAUGUGAGGAAGGUGGGGAUGACGUCAAAUCAGCACGGCCCUUACGUCCGGGGCUACACACGUGUUACAAUGGGGGGUACAGAAGGCGGCUACCUGGUGACAGGAUGCUAAUCCCAAAAACCUCUCUCAGUUCGGAUCGAAGUCUGCAACCCGACUUCGUGAAGCUGGAUUCGCUAGUAAUCGCGCAUCAGCCAUGGCGCGGUGAAUACGUUCCCGGGCCUUGUACACACCGCCCGUCAAGCCAUGAAAGCCGGGGGUACCUGAAGUACGUAACCGCAAGGAGCGUCCUAGGGUAAAACUGG